UUGACUUCCUGGAGGGACGGGCGGGCUUGAGUCACCGCACUGGAAAGAGCGAGCGUCUCACGUGAACGCUUGCGGCGCGCGGGGAACGCCGACGUUCCCCAGCGGAGUCCAUCCCAAGGCCGGUCUGCUCUGGCAGGAUGGCGGCUUUAGUUUCUGUGACGGUCUGAUACUGCGGCGGCUCACCAUGGCCCUGCGGGCAGUGUGGCUCGUCCGUCACGAGCCGGGAACUCCACUCGGUGGCACCGUCAGGUUCUCCAGACGAUACCCUACUGUUGAAAAGCGAGCCAAAAUCUUCAAUGGAGUGAGUUAUGUUCCUGUACCCGAAGAUGGUCCCUUCCUGAAGGCAUUACUCUUCCAACUGAGAUUAUCGGGUGAUGAUAAAGACUUUGUGGAGAGGCGUGAUAGCUGCUCACACACCAACAAAUCACCCGUCUAUGGACUUUCAGUAGGCGGUGAAGAACUCUGGCCAGUCAUUGCUUUUCUGAGGAACGAUAUGAUUUAUGCAAGUGUUCCACUGGUUGAACAAGCCCUAUCCCCCCGCCCAUCUGUAGUUAGUGUUAGUGGAGUCUCACAAGGCUUGGAACUGCUUUUCGGGAUACAGGAUUUUCUUUACUCCUCAAGUCAGAAAAGUGACACAGACCUAAACACAAAGUUGAGUCAGUUGCCUGACCUGCUUCUGCAGGCUUGUCCUUUGGGUACUCUGUUGGACACUAACUUGCAGAAUUUACUGAAUAGUGCUAAUUUCUCAUCUGUGACUCAGCCGCACAAACAGCCAGCAUGGAAAGUUGGAACAUACAAAGGAAAGCCUCAGAUUUCUAUUUCUAUCACUGAAAAAGUGAAGUGCAUGCAGUAUGGUAAACAGGAUGCAGCAGACACGUGGCAAGUUGUUGGGACAGUCACUUGCAAGUGUGACUUGGAAGGAAUCAUGCCAAAUGUUACCAUCAGCUUGAAUCUCCCCACCAAUGGAUCUCCACUUCAAGAUAUUAUCGUUCAUCCUUGCGUGACUUCUCUUGAUUCAGCCAUUCUGACCGCUAGUAGCAUUGAUACAAUGGACGAUUCUGCGUUUAGUGGGCCUUAUAAGUUCCCGUUCUCUCCGCCUUUGGAGUCAUUCAGCUUAUGCCACUACACUUCUCUGGUCCCUGUCCCACCAAUAUUGGGUUCUUAUCACAUGAAAGAAGAAGAAGUACAACUGAAAAUAACAGUUAAUUUAAAACUUCAUGAAAGUGUAAAAAAUAAUUUUGAAAUCUGUGAGGCUCAUAUACCUUUUUACAACAGAGGUCCGAUUACCCAUUUGGAAUACAAAGUUAGUUUCGGUCAACUUGAAGUAUAUCGAGAAAAAAGUUUAUUGGUCUGGAUUAUUGGCCAGAAGUUCCCCAAAUCAAUGGAAAUUAGUCUUUCUGGAACUCUAACGUUUGGCGCCAAGGGCCAUAACAAGCAGCCAUUUGAUCACAUUUGCAUUGGAAAUACAGCAUAUGUAAAGGUGUCUUGGAGCAAGCGUGAGUCCUUCUGGCCAAAGCAAACUCUGAGGACGAUGUGAGCAUGAAGGCUGACUAAUAUCUUCAUCUGAACAAUGGGUUAGGGCCAACAUGGCCCAGUGGGUCAAAGCUCUACCUAAGUUCAGUCCCUGGAAUUGAGAGUGGAAAGAGCCAGCUCUCAAACAUUGUCCUCGGCCAUCUCCAUCCACACAUGGCAUGUAAGUGCCUGUGCUUACACACAACAGCACAUAGUGCGCAUGCCGCAUAAACAUACUUCAUUUUAGGAUCUCAGAUUAUACACUCACUGGAUGUUAUGCCGAUCAGCAUUCAGUUCAAGUUUUUGCAUCAGGAAAACCAAAAAUAAAUCGGAAACUAAUUUCUUCUGACUAUUACAUCUGGAAUUCUGAAGCUCCUGCUCCAGUAACAUAUGCGUCGUUGUUGCCAUGAUUUUCUCAUGGGAUUUAUUUAUUUCUUCAAAUGGGAUUUAUGUGAUGUAACAUUCUGUAGUAGAAUCAUAUUAUUUUUAUUUCUUACAUGUAUUCAUAUAACCUGUGACUGAAAAAUCACUGAAUGAUUUCUUUAUCCAAACAUUUAUAUCUGAUGUCUUUAGUCUGAUACAGUGUGAAAAAAUUUAUUCAAGGCUAAUGUCUUCCUUUCUUUGUUGCCCUCUGAUUUCAUGCCAGUGUGACUCAGGACAUAUGAAAGUAGUGAUUCAUUUUGACUCAAGACCAGUCUUGGUGUCCAUGCCAUAUGUUCCUUCCUAGAACUGUGGCAGGCCUCCAGGCGCAGGCCCAGCCAGGACAGGCCCAGCCGUGGCCUCCUGUGGGACAGGCUGUGCUAAUCAGUCAGAGUCCUUUCCUUAAGUAAGAGCUCAGCCUUCCCCAGCACAGUCUCAGGCAGCUGUCCUGUGGGUUGUAGGGACCUACAAGGAAACCGUGCUUAUCCAAACCUCAGCAAGCAGCAUGCUAUUUCAGAAUGGCCACGAUCUGGUUAAAUAAUCACGAAACACGGAGAUACUGCUCAAAUAAUAAGCUGCUCUUCACAUCCCUCCUCCUGGCCAAUAAAGAACCUGCAUAACUGUUCAGUGUUCUUGAGCUACUCUUCUGGGCAGGGUCACUGUGCAGCUGAGGAUGACCCUGAAUCCCUCUCGAGUGCUGGGAUUUCAGUGGUGUAUCACCAUGUCCGGUUUGUUCUCCGCUUCUAGGGAGCAAAUUCAGCUUCAUGCAUGCCAGGCAAGCCCCCUCCCAGCUGAACUAUGAUGGUAACCCAAUAAUAACCCCUCUCAGGCUCCUUUAACUAACUUAGUAAUCUGCCUGAAUGACGUGUUUAGGGUACCAGGCAACCAGGCUGCAGUACUUCAGAAGAAGAGCACAGAGGCCUGUGAUUAUUCAGUGUCCUUGGACAAGGUUUUAAAAAUAAUUCUAGCUAUUAUACUCUUUUUUUUUUUUUAAAUUAAAGUCUGUUAACAAAUGAACUCAGGUAAACUCAAAAGCCCUUUCAUGGGUAAAAAAUCAUUUACACUAAUGUAAUGUAGCAUAUUUUUCUUAAGUCUGUCCCUGUCAUUUUCUCUACCAUUUUCUUGAUUCCUUCGAAACCACCUACCGUGUUCUUUACCCUCUACCCAUUUCCACCAUCUCGCUUCAUGUUCUGCUUCAGAGCCAUGUACUGUCUGUCGCCAAGCUGAAUAUUAAGUGGCAAAAAAAAAAAUUAAAGAUCAUGAAAACUUAACUGAUGUCAACUGAAGCCUGACCUCCCCCUCAAAGAAAUUAGUGACAUACUAAUAUUUAAUUGGAUUUAUCCUGAGUUCUAUUUCUUUGUUGUCUUUUUUAAAAAUGAGUCUUCUAAAAAGGGCUUAGAGAAAGCUGCUGAUUGUUCAGAGAAGAGUUAAAACCAUUAAGGAGGAAGUGUGUAUAAACUAGGACUUGAAAUACAUUUUCAAUUAGGGUCAUUCCUACUCAUUAUAAACCCUCUUUGCCUGCAGAGCUUCUCACAGCCUCAAGGUCUGUUUUCACAGUCAUCCUAAGUAAGAAGAGGGUAAUUGCCAGACCAGGACGGUAACUUGCUGUCCCGGCUCACCCAAAGGAAGUCAGCAGUGAAAGAAAACAGUUCUGUGGUUUCUAUCACUCCUCAACUCAAAGUGUAACAUGGUACUUUAAGUUAUUAGGGUAGCCCUUUGGAAAUUGUAACUGUACAAAUGCUUAGCAAAUUGUUCUAAGGUAGACAGGACACAUUCAUCUGGAAAAAUUCAAUAUAUAAUCCCUGAGGCAAACUCUCUUCAUAAACAAAUUAGAUAAACCAGUGACCUCUAAUUUGACAUUUCUAGAAACCUAGGGAAAAUCUAGGGGUUCCUAGAAAAGCAUGGGGGUGACAGGGAAGCAAUGCCAUCUGUUGCGGUUCCGUUCUGACAACACUAGGGAGCUAAAAGCCAGCCCACAUUUCAUCCCAUUGAGAUCAGCUGGGCACACUGAUGCUUUUGAUUUUGUCUAGAAACCUGUCACUUCAGGAUAAUUUCUGAAGACAAAGCUUGUUCCCGGUUUGGUAGGUGACCUGUUUAAUGUUUUCCCUGUGUCUGGGAGCUCCUUAGUGUAAUUAGCGACCUUUGAACUCCACAGCUAAUCCUGAGCUAUUUUGUAUUCCUUACUCAUCUUUAAGGCUGGACCUUUCUUUUCUUCAGAGUCCACUGCCACAAUUAAAGAAGAAACAGCUGCAUUUCAAAGGGAUUCCGAUUCCAGAAGCUUAACUGUGAUUGACAUGUUCUUAUUCUAAGCUAUAAGACACUCUCAGAGUCCUUUCUUUGGUUAGAACUUCAAUCAUUUUCUAAAAAAUUAUCUCACUAUGGAUUUUAUUCAUUUUCUUUGAUAGCUAUUCUUUGCAAUUUUUUUUUAACUUGAAAGGUGCUUUGCAUUUGCAGUGAAUAUGAGCAUCGACUUCCAGUGACAGAUUUGGACGGGGUUAGACCUGCUCUAGAUACCAUGUUGCUAAAUUCCCUUUUAGUGUCAAAAUAUGAUUAUGAAAUCUGAUAUCUAUGCUGUAGUUACUCUUACUCAACCCAAAGGGUUAAAGAAAGUUUUAAAUAUCUGCGAAUGAACUCUAGAAAAGAUGGGUCCUGAUUUGGGUAAAACCUGUUCUCCAUUUAUGUACUAAGCAACAUUGUAAGGCUCAGGAUGUAGUACUCGACAGUGGGAAUGUCUUACACUGUUAAACAAUUGACCCUGCUAACUGGGAAUGUACCAUUAGCCCAUCUCAAAGUCUUUUUUUUUCUUGCCAUCUCAGUAUUUCUACUGUUGCAAUAUUGUGGUCUUAGAUUUCAUGUGCUGUGUUUAACAAAGACAUUUUGCACAUAGUAACCAUUGCUGGUUUUUUUUUUUUUUUUCCUGUUUCUUGUUACAAUAUUUAAAAAAAAGAAGAAGAAGAAAAACAAAAAACCUUAAGAGGCCCACAUAGAUUCCUCCAGUGCCAGUGGGAGGUUGUAGGUGGAGUUCCUCCCCAGGGCUUGCUGCCCUAGCAGAGGACUUGUUGCGGAGACAAAGGUCAAAAAAGGGAUGUUAAUAAACAGUCCUCAGGUUUAAGGGACUUUUUAGGAUUACAUCUUAAAUUCCAACAAAUCAGAUUUAGGAGUUGCUGAAAGUGAAAUUGAUCCAUCCCUCAUGCAAACUUGGCAAUACUUUCCUGUCCCGUUUGCUGGAUAGUCAGCUGUAUGAUCAGAUUAGAAGCCAUUGUACCCCGCUGCUGAAAGGAAAGAGAGGCAAAAAGCUAAACACGGGAUGAAUUCUGAACCUUUUAACCUGGCUGGAGUAUGUUGGUUGCUGUUAUGCAAAUACCUCCAAUCCUCUGCUAAGUUCUGUGGAAAUAAUUUUCUUGAAUGACAGGUUGAUUCAGCAAGGAUUCAGUCGCUGAUUAAUCCCCCUUUGAUCUAGGGUAUUUCACUUAACUACCAGUUACCUCUUUCUGACAAAGUGCAGCCGAGAUUAGGGAGAUCACUAGAACACGACCAGCCCAUGCGUUUAUUCUCCAUAACCUUUCAAAGCAAGGGCCAAGAAUGCAAUUUAUUCCCAGUUUUUGAAGAUGCAAAGUCCUGUCUGCUAAGUUACAAAGUCAAUUGAAUACCAAAUGAAGUUUAUUUCUUAUGUAAGAGAACAAACUUUUUUUUUUUUUGCUCUGCGGAACAAUGAUAUUAGGAAUCACAGGCUUUGAAGAGAGUAAAAACAAAGACUACAUUCCAAGUACAACUUUUUUGUCUCAUGUGCAAGAGUGCAUUCUCACUGCCCCUAGAUAAGCCAAGAAUCAAAGGUGUGGCUGCAGUUAUGCUGAGAAAACUCUUGUGUUUCAUGGGAUCGCCCCAGCCAUCCCCGGCACUACUGAAAUAUGCACUGCUCCCUACAGCAAGGGAGACAAGCGGCACGCAAUCUUGUUAGCUUUUCUCUUCUUGAGGAGGUGGAGCCUUAUGUUCUCAUUAAAAUAACUGCAUUCAUUUUCCCUAAGUGGUAUCAUUGCCAAAGUAAGUCAUUCUCUUAAGUGUCUUCUGCCUUUUGCUUUAUCUUUUCCCCCAUAUACUUAAACUUUGAAAUAGUCUGUGCAGUAAUUCAGAUGUGUUUCAUGCUAUUUUCACAGAAUUCACUUUUUUAAAACGAUUAUCAGUAUUAGUAUUUUUCUAGAUGUCAAAUUAUUCCUUAAAUAUCCUUCAAAACCUAUAAAAUAUAGAUACAUAAUAUUACACAAUAAUUUGUAACAAAUUUUGUUUUUAAUUAUUGUUGUUAUUAAUGACUAACUUUAUAAAUAAGACAAAACCUUUAAAUGUUAUAUAGUUGCUCAUUAUCCUGUAGUAAUCUACAAUAAAAGCUACUGUUUAAAUCA